GGUAGAGUGCAUAAUGGUUAUGCACAGAGACUCUCAUGUCUGAGGUUCCAAGGACCUAGGUUCAAUUCCUUGCACUACCA
rnacentral:tRNA from 1 species